GUCGGUACACUGCAGAGUACCAUUAUGGUCCUUCAUUGUUUUUUUUUUGUUUUUUUUUACCAUGUUUUCAUUUAUAAUUUAAAACUAAAGCUGGGAUGUGGAGGGUAUCAACACCUUCUACAGAUGGAAAUUUCAUAAUUUUGAUCUCUUACUUCAACUUUAUCCGUCAACUGGACCUUCAGAGAACAAGUCGCUAAUCAAGUUAUGUGAACCAUACAUACUGGUAUUCUAAAGCUCUCUUUAAUUACUCGAUACUUGUGGAUAUAAAACACAGGAAGAAAUGGA